UCUCCGUAGGUGAACCUGCGGAGGGAUCAUUACCGAGUUCAUGCCCUUACGGGUAGAUCUCCCACCCUGUGUUAUCAUUACCUCUGUUGCUUUGGCGGGCCGUCAGGCCUUGGUCUGGCUACCGGCUCCGGCUGGUAAGCGCCCGCCAGAGGACCUCAAACCCUAAAUGUCAGUGUCGUCUGAGUACUAUAUAAUAGUUAAAACUUUCAACAACGGAUCUCUUGGUUCUG
rnacentral:misc_RNA from 1 species